rnacentral:rRNA from 1 species
UACGGAGGGUGCAAGCGUUGUCCGGAUUCAUUGGGUUUAAAGGGUGCGUAGGCGGCCGAUUAAGUCAGUGGUGAAAGCCUGUAGCUCAACUACAGAACUGCCAUUGAUACUGGUUGGCUUGAGUAUGGUAGAGGUAAGCGGAAUGGAUGGUGUAGCGGUGAAAUGCAUAGAUAUCAUCCAGAACACCGAUAGCGAAGGCAGCUUACUGGGCCGAAACUGACGCUGAGGCACGAAAGCGUGGGGAUCAAACAGG